UACGUAGGGUGCAAGCGUUUGUCCGGAAUUAUUGGGCGUAAAGAGCUCGUAGGCGGUCUGUCACGUCGGCUGUGAAAUCCCGAGGCUCAACCUGGGGUCUGCAGUCGAUACGGGCAAACUAGAGUAUUGCAGGGGAGACUGGAAUUCCUGGUGUAGCGGUGAAAUGCGCAGAUAUCAGGAGGAACACCGGUGGCGAAGGCGGGUCUCUGGGCAAUAACUGACGCUGAGGAGCGAAAGCGUGGGGAGCGAACAGG
rnacentral:rRNA from 1 species